GUAGCAGACUGUUCUAUCGCCGCAAUAUUUUUUGAGGAGGAAAGUCCGGACAACAUAGAGCACCAUGCUUCUUAACGAGAAGAUGCUCGCAAGGGUAUAGUAGUGCAACAGAGAAUGACUGUCUUGGCUGCAAAGUCAGGAUGAUGGUGAAAAGGCGAGGUAAGAGCUCACCAGUAUUGCAGGCGACUGCAAUAGCUGUGUGCCUUUUGGGUUGCAAGACCAUGUAUAUCGGCAUUUAAGGGCUGCUCGUUCGUUGCCGAGGGGUAGGUCGCUAAAGGUUUGGUGCGAACCACACCUUAGACAAAUGAUAGAAGCUCAUUUUUUUGGGAAACAGAAUCCGGCUUAUAGGUCUGCUACUUUU
rnacentral:RNase_P_RNA from 1 species